rnacentral:lncRNA from 1 species
CUCGAGGGCAGCUCCAGCCUGGGCCCUUCCAGAAGGACCCUCCCCAUCUCCGUCUACAUCUACGCCCAGGGAGGUCAAAGGCAUCAGGAAAGGUGCAUGGGCCAAGAAGCCCCAGGACCACAGGAAUCUCCAAGUUGAGGAAAACAAUUUCGUGCCAUUCAGUUUAAAAUAGGAAAUUGGGAGGGAGAGGCAGAUACAGGGAAGAGAAAAUAAAUGAAGUCACCCCCCCCACCCUGAAAAGAAGAAAAGGAGCGUACAUCCCCCCCCACCCAAGGAGGAAAAGGUCCGGUCCACACAGCGAAGGUUCACAGUGUCCAUCUGUGGAAGAGACCUUGUGGCUGUCCCGUGUCGCUGCACGUAAGCGCCUUAUAACCUACUGCGCUUGUCCCCCGAUGCCUGCCCCCCUUUCUGGCCUCAGUCUGUCUUUAACGGGUUUUGAGACCCUACAAGCUUUCCUUCCCUCUCCCUCCUCCCUGUGCUUCCUCCUCUGCUAAAAGUCCGGGACACGGGGGUGGGGAACAUCAGAGACCCUCGGCCAGGCCCAGACUCUCAGCCCUGCCCUGGGAGGAGGGGGAGCAGUGAGAGGCGAGGGGCCAAGGCAGGCCCCUCCU